CCAGAACAGGCGCUGAUCCUGGAAGGGUUGAACGAGAGGAAGGACUUUCACUUUCUCUGCUGAACCAAGUCCUUUUUCUUCCCUUGAAACACCGAUCUGCCCCAGUCCCUAAACAGAUGUGUCAGAUAGCCUUUAAGGAUCUGCUUUUCUUACGAGGUGUUGCUUUACCAGUGACAUACGUCUCUUAAAAAGGGCCUACUCCACCACUGUCACAGCCCAGCGUUUGGUCCCAGCCCAGUGCUGAGAAGGGCAGAGAAGCUGGUGAAGGGUCUGGAGCACAAAUCUUACGAGGAGCUG